ACGAGUCGCGCUUCGACGCGACGAAACUGCGAAAGGCUCAUUAAAUCAGUCGUGGUCUACGUGGUCGUGCGGCGACGAGAGUCGUCAGAGGUGGAUAACCGUGGAAAAGCUAGAGCUAAUACAUGCAAGCGAGCGCCGACUUCGGGAGGCGUGCAUUUAUCAGACCGCGCGUCGGCCGAGCGCCGCGUCGAUGUUCGGGCCGCGAGGCCCGGCGUUAUCGGACGGCGCUCGUCGAUGGUGGUGACUCUGGAUAACUUAUCGUGCUGAUCGCCGGUCCCAUUGUAGAGACCGGGCGACGAACCACUCGAGCGUCUGACCUAUCAACUGUUGUCGGUAAGGUCUCGGCCUACCGAGGUGCUCACGGGUGACGGGGAAUCAGGGUUCGAUUCCGGAGAGGGAGCCCGAGAAACGGCUGCCACUUCCAAGGAAGGCAGCAGGCGCGCAAAUUACCCAUUUCAGACUCUGAGAGGUAGUGACGAGAAAUACCGAUGCCGGGCCUCGACGGGCGCCGACAAUCGAAAUGAGCGCAGCUCAAAACACUGAUGUCGUUCCUCGCCUNCAAGGCCCUUCGCGGGGCCGCGAGAGCAGGUGUCGUGCGAGUAUCGAUCGGAGGGCAA
rnacentral:rRNA from 1 species